rnacentral:rRNA from 1 species
AGUGAACGCUGGCGGUAGGCCUAACACAUGCAAGUCGAACGGCAGCACAGUAAGAGCUUGCUCUUACGGGUGGCGAGUGGCGGACGGGUGAGGAAUACAUCGGAAUCUACUUUUUCGUGGGGGAUAACGUAGGGAAACUUACGCUAAUACCGCAUACGACCUACGGGUGAAAGCAGGGGAUCUUCGGACCUUGCGCGAUUGAAUGAGCCGAUGUCGGAUUAGCUAGUUGGCGGGGUAAAGGCCCACCAAGGCGACGAUCCGUAGCUGGUCUGAGAGGAUGAUCAGCCACACUGGAACUGAGACACGGUCCAGACUCCUACGGGAGGCAGCAGUAGGGAAUCUUCCGCAAAGGGCGAAAGCCUGACGGAGCAACGCCGCGUGAGUGAUGAAGGUCUUCGGAUCGUAAAACUCUGUUAUUAGGGAAGAACAUAUGUGUAAGUAACUGUGCACGUCUUGACGGUACCUAAUCAGAAAGCCACGGCUAACUACGUG